AGAGGAGGCGCAGGCAGUUGCAGACUCUUUGAGUCUGAGGAAAGUCCGGGCUCCCCAAAGACCAGACUUGCUGGGUAACGCCCAGUGCGGGCAACCGUGAGGAUAGUGCCACAGAAACAUACCGCCGCUUUCUAAAAGUGUUGAGUGUUGAGUUCUAAGUUUUGAAUUAAUACCUCAACACUCAAAAUUCAAAACUCAACACUUGAUCAAGCGGUAAGGGUGCAAAGGUGCGGUAAGAGCGCACCAGCAACGUCGAGAGGCGUUGGCUCGGUAAACCCCGGUCGGGAGCAAGGUGGCAGGAGCUAAGGUUGGUCUUUUCCCAGCUCCGGGUAGGAUGGAGGCAACUCCAUACCUGCGAAAUCCGCUAGAGGUGUCUGGUAACAGGCAUCCCAGAUAGAUAACUGCCCUACUUGUGGCCUGUCAUUGUGAAUGGCAGCGGCAUGAGUAGAACAGAACCCGGCUUAUGUCCGCCUCUUUCC
rnacentral:RNase_P_RNA from 2 species